rnacentral:lncRNA from 1 species
AUGAGAUCGGCCUGGGUCACUUCUUUCGAAAAGGAGCGUCUGUGGAUGUACCUGCAGGCGCUCGGCUUCGAGCCUUGUCUGGCGACCAUAGCCUGCGGAAAUACCGUGUCACACACGCACUUCGGAGUGAACAUGUUUGACAAGCUGAACCGUGAUGCCUUUCACAUAGUUUCUUAUUUUUUGUUUCAAACACUUGACAAGUCUCUCACCAAAGAAGUCUUCUCUUCUAUACGUUUUACAGAGACAUUUAAUGUAAAACCACAAGAUUUGCACAUAUGCCUUGCCAGAUGCCUUGUAGCACGUAAUAGAUUUUUACAAGUUUUGCAAAGAGAAGAUUGUGUUACCCAAAAAUAUCAAGAAAAUGCACAAUUAUCAGUUAAACAGGUACGAAAUUUGAGAUCAGAAUAUAUGGGACUGCAAAACCAAAUAAAAAAAAUGGAACCCUGUGAUGACCAAAGUAAUAUACAAGAGAAAAUUCAAAAGGUUCGGUCUUUGUGGACUUCAGUGAAUGAAACACUUAUAUUUUUGGAAAAAGAGAGAGAAGUUGUUAGUUCAGUCCUUAGUCUUGAUAACAAUUAUACUUUAGAUGGAACUAACAUUGCUAUCAAUAUUCCGAGCCUCUUACUUGAUAAAAUUGAGAAACAAAUGUGUCAGUUGCACAUAGGAAAUAUUUAUGAGGCUGGAAAAUUGAACAUCUUAACAGUUUUUUGGUUAUUAAAUGAAGUCUUGAAAGUAAUGAAAUAUGAAUGUUGUCAGACUGACCAAGCAAGACUGACAAUAGACCUUCACUUCCUUGAAAAAGAGACCAGAUUUCAGAGAGAAAGACUGUCAGAUCUGAAGCAUAUGAGGUAUAAAAUAACAGAAGCUCUCAAAACUAUAAGACAUUCUAUUGUUGAAAAACAAGAAGAAUGGCAUAAAAAGUGGAAAGAGUUUCUUGGCUUAUCUCCUUUCAGUAUAGUUAAGAGUUCUACUCCAGCUGUGGAUCUUUUACCGCCUAUGUCUCCGCUUUCGUUUGAUCCUGCCUCAGAGGAAGCAUAUGCGAGGAGCAUUCUUUUACAGUAUCCUGCUUCACUUCCAGUUACACCUAAGCAACAUAUCCAGGAAAAUAAUUGCAGAAGAGCAAGUGAUAUACUGGAAACUAAAUCUGAUCCAGCCAACAGCCCUGCUUCUUUCCUGUUACAGCCGGUUCCACCAUUAGGUGGAGACAUUGUUACAUUACUUGAAAAGGACACGAAGUUGAUAACUCUUAGAGAGGAAAAUGAAACAGUUCCUAAGAAAACACCAGAAUUUAAAGUGGAAGACUCUUCAUCAUCAAAUAUUGCAAAGAAUACAGAUAGUAGUGCAUGUGGAGGGUCUCUGCCAGCUAAAAAAAGCAAUCCAUUCCAGAAAGAGCAAGAUCAUCUGGUAGAAGAGGUUGCGGGGGCAGUUUUAUCUAAUUCACCACAGCUCUCUGAAGGAAAAGAAGUAAAAUUGGAAGAACUAAUUGACUCUCUAAUUUCUAACCCGUUCUUAACAAGGAGUCAAAUUCCCCGAACUCCAGAAAACUUGAUAAGUGAAAUUCGGAGCUCAUGGAGAAAAGCUGUUGAUAUAGAAGAUAAUGGAAGUACAGAACCAAUUCAAGUGGAUACUGAACAUAGAGAAGAAUUGCCAGAAUCCUUACCUGUGGUGCAUAAUCAAAAAGAGUUUAGCAUGGCCAGUUUCUUGUCAGCAGCCACUGUGUCCGAUUCUAGUCAUUCUCAUCUGCCUGAAGAGAAAGUUGUUUCAGAUUGCCUCAAGUGUGUGCCUCAGAAACCCGUGGUGACCACUUGCAUAGGUGAACCAGCAACACAAAAUCCAUCAGAUUUGUUAAAUAAGGACAUAAUUUGUAUGCAAGAUUUGGACUGUACAACUUUACAGAACAAACUUUUAGAAACUAGCCAAAUAGAGACAUUUUCCCCUGCUGUAGGCAAUAGAAGAAAUGUGUUAGGUAGCAGUGAAGAAGAUAAUAUUAAAAUAUCAGACCAGUCAAAAGCUUCUUACGAAGACUUUUCCAUGUAUAACAGUACAUUAUGGAACUGUUUUCAGGUAUCAAGUGGAAUUAGUUCUAGUUUUAAAGAUGGUGAUUUUGGCAUAUUACAUGAAACUCUUCCAGAAGUUGGUCACAUAAGUCUUAUUAGCCCCAGUAGUACAGAGGCCACUUUUAAACUGGAACCAAAUAGUCCUAUGCACAGUGGCGUUUUCACAGAUGUUGUGGGAGAAAAACAGACUACUCCAGAAUCAGACUUCAAUUUACAGGCUACUUGCAGUGGAUAUGAGGCGCUGAAGAAAUCUCUGUCUGAGCGAAGGGAAGAAAUUUACCUCUCUAAUCCUGAAAUACUUGAAAGACACAAACCAGAAUUGAGCCUUACUCCCCAAAAGAUGCAGACUGAUGAUAUGCUUAAUUUUUUGGGCAUUCAUGAUUUGAACAUUGACUGUACAAAACCAUCUUCACGCAUGUCCCUUGGUGAAAGAAAACGGUCUCUUUCACCACUAAUUAAGUUUUCUCCAGUGGAAGAAAGAUUGAAGACCACAAUACCAUGUAACCUUGGAGAACUUCUACCUGAUUUAACAGAAGAGGAAAUCUUGAGUAAGAGCCUUGAUGCAAAAGUAUCUCCAUCUGACUCGACAAGAUGAAGCAGUAGCCCAGUCAGUUUAACUAUGAUGCACUUAAGUUGAAGCAGUGUCACAAAAUAAAAACUAAUUUGCAGUUUAAAUACACAUGGGAAGUGUAACUGUUUUUCAAGGUCUAAAAAAGUCUUAAAUAAUGCCUGUUAGCCUUUUCUACUGUUUUU